UGGGGAAUAUUGCACAAUGGGCGAAAGCCUGAUGCAGCGACGCCGCGUGCGGGAUGAAGGCCUUCGGGUUGUAAACCGCUUUUGAUUGGGAGCAAGCGAGAGUGAGUGUACCUUUCGAAUAAGCACCGGCUAACUACGUGCCAGCAGCCGCGGUAAUACGUAGGGUGCAAGCGUUAUCCGGAAUUAUUGGGCGUAAAGAGCUCGUAGGCGGUUUGUCGCGUCUGGUGUGAAAGUCCAUCGCUUAACGGUGGAUCUGCGCCGGGUACGGGCAGGCUAGAGUGCGACAGGGGAGACUGGAAUUCCCGGUGUAACGGUGGAAUGUGUAGAUAUCGGGAAGAACACCAAUGGCGAAGGCAGGUCUCUGGGUCGUCACUGACGCUGAGGAGCG
rnacentral:rRNA from 1 species